UACGUAGGGUCCGAGCAUUGUCCGGAAUUAUUGGGCGUAAAGGGCUCGUAGGCGGUUCGUCACGUCGGGCGUGAAAACUCGGAGCUUAACUCCGAGCCUGCUUCCGAUACGGGCAGACUAGAGGUAGGCAGGGGAGAGCGGAACUCCUGGUGUAGCGGUGGAAUGCGCAGAUAUCAGGAAGAACACCGGUGGCGAAGGCGGCUCUCUGGGCCUUACCUGACGCUGAGGAGCGAAAGCCAGGGGAGCAAACGGG
rnacentral:rRNA from 1 species